ACGUCUUUCUUUCUACAAUGGGGAACUUACAAUGUGAUGCUUUCUAACAUGUUUUGUCACAGUGCUCACGUGUCUUGGUCUAUGCUGGGUUCCACACCUAGAUUUCAUUUCCUCCCCCUAACCAGUCUGUUCUUAUUUCCUUACAAAAUUACCUAUUUAUCCCAUGUGUCACUGCACAUCUCGUGUGAAAUCUAUAAAAUACAUCUAUGUGCACUUUGUCCUGCUUCUGUGUUAUCACUUAGUGUGCCCUAUUGUCCUCCACGUGAUACACAGAGCUUGGCCUUCAACUGUCCUACAUGUGAUACAUACAGCCCGGCCUUCUCUUGUCCUUCACGUGAUACAUACAGCCCGGCCUUCUCCUGUCCUACAAGUGACACACAGCCCGGCCUUCUCCUGUCCUUCAAGUGAUACAUACAGCCCGGCCUUCUCUUGUCCUUCACGUGAUACAUACAGCCCGGCCUUCAGGGGAGGGCUGGCAGCCUUAGGCCUGGAGGCAGUGGCGGAUCCAGAGCCUGAUCUCGGGAGGGGCACUUGUAGAUUAUUUAAAGAAAUAAUCCAGACACAAUAACUACUACAGCUCAGUGUAGU